UACGGAGGGAGCAAGCGUUACUCGGAAUUAUUGGGCGUAAAGGGCGCGUAGGCGAUUUGAAAAGUCUUGUGUGAAAGCCCCGAGCUUAACUCGGGAAGUGCACAAGAAACUGUUGAAUUUGAGUUCCGGAGAGGAAGGCAGAAUUCCCGGUGUAGCGGUGAAAUGCGUAGAUAUCGGGGAGGAAUACCAGUGGCGAAGGCGGCCUUCUGGACGGAUACUGACGCUGAG
rnacentral:rRNA from 1 species